AGUUUGAUCCUGGCUCAGAUUGAACGCUGGCGGCAGGCCUAACACAUGCAAGUCGAACGGUAACAGGAAACAGCUUGCUGUUUCGCUGACGAGUGGCGGACGGGUGAGUAAUGUCUGGGAAACUGCCUGAUGGAGGGGGAUAACUACUGGAAACGGUAGCUAAUACCGCAUAACGUCGCAAGACCAAAGAGGGGGGACCCUCGGGCCUCUUGCCAUCGGAUGUGCCCAGAUGGGAUUAGCUUGUUGGUGGGGUAACGGCUCACCAAGGCGACGAUCCCUAGCUGGUCUGAGAGGAUGACCAGCCACACUGGAACUGAGACACGGUCCAGACUCCUACGGGAGGCAGCAGUGGGGAAUAUUGCACAAUGGGCGCAAGCCUGAUGCAGCCAUGCCGCGUGUAUGAAGAAGGCCUUCGGGUUGUAAAGUACUUUCAGCGGGGAGGAAGGGAGUAAAGUUAAUACCUUUGCUCAUUGACGUUACCCGCAGAAGAAGCACCGGCUAACUCCGUG
rnacentral:rRNA from 1 species